rnacentral:snRNA from 1 species
AUUGCUUCUCGGCCUUUUGGCUAAGAUCAAGUGUAGUACCUGUUCUUAUCAGUUUAAUAUCGGAUACGUCCUCUAUCCGAGGACAAUAUAUUAAGUGGAUUUUUGGAACAGGGAGAUGGAAUGGGGCUUGCUACGUCCACUCCACACAUCGACCUGGUAUUGCUGUACCUCCGGGAACGGUGCACCACCU